rnacentral:rRNA from 1 species
CCCUUCUCCUUCCCCACGCGCGCCGCCAUGGGCUCCCGCCGCCGCCGGUCUCUCGACCAGGCCUGCGCACCAUCCGCCGCUCCCGCAUGACCCUGCUGGCCUCCCGCCCCCACGUGCUCAAAUCCUCUCCUCCGACUAGGUGCCCUCUCUGCUCGAACCCUCGUCCUCAUGGUGGGCACUGGUCAGAUCUCAGGGAAGACCGGGCUCAAACUUGCUGCAGAGGAGUACUGCCCUGUACUAGAAUAUCAUGAUGGCCAUGGCAAAGCAGUUCCUGUAGGCGUUGCUGCUCCUGUUGUCCAACCCCUUCCUGGCCUUUCCAGGUUGGGUUCCCGUGAGCGGCGUCAUCAGCUUAGGCACCAACCUCGUCUCCUCAAGGUUCUUGUCCCUUGAUGAACAAACCUAGCAUAUCGUUACUGAAUUUGGAGUUAUACACAUCAACAAGAGGAGGGAAAGAGACGGGCUUACAGUGGUAUGAAAAAAAAGUUUCCACCAUCGGUUGCAAAGGUGAGGCCAGAUAACAAGAGAUUAAUUAUGUUCUCAUCUCCAAUAUGUUUAGUGGUUACAACAUGCUACUGUUCACUUUUUUCUCACCUCUUUAUACUGCACUACUAUGCACUGAAGUUGUUUGCUAAUUUACACAUUGAAUUGUUCUGGUUGAUAUGCUAUUUAUUUGUUUCUUAACCCAAAUCCUUUUUCUAGUUGUAAAGGUUGUUGUUGCUAUAGCCUCAUGGAAAAAGAUUGUUUUUGGGUAAGCCAACCCAAUAUUUCUGGUCGUUGAUGCAUUUUGAUAAGUUUGAUGGUCCAGUCCCCAGUGAGGAAGAAAUCUUAGUCGACGACGCUGGCAGUGGCACUAGCUCCAGUGCCCCUGCUCUUGCAGCAUUCGAGCAUAUUUUUAUCCGCAGCUUGAAAGGGGAGGAUGAAGGAAUUUUGCAGCUACUAUGGUAUUCUGCAUACAUCCAGAUUCUGAACUUCUAUCAAAGAUGCAUGGCUAUUGUAUCCUCAAGACAAUAUAAAAGCUUUUGCAAUGAUAUUUGUUUUUGCAGUUUCCUAAACUGAAUAAUCUUUAGAAUGCACGAAAGUCUUUUCAUAUUGAAUUGUAAUUCCAUUGAAACUUUCUCCUCCAGCCAUACACCAUUAGAAGAUAAAGACAGUAAGCUUGGUUGCAGCAUCCAAAACUCAUUCAGUUAUCCGAAGUAAAGUAUAUUCAUAUUCAGCAAGUAAACUAGCAAGCUCUCUUCUCUUUCUUACAUAUUUUAUAUUUACAAUCACAUGGAGGUGCUCGGUUUCCCUGCCUUUCUUCCUGGUUCCGUAUUGAGAUUUGUAUGCAACUAUUUCAUCUUCCAUUAUGAACAUUAUCUUAUUUCAGAUUCAGCCAACAUGCAUGUAAAUACUAUGGCCAAUUGCAUUGUCUUCUAGAAUUAAUUAUGCACCAUGUCAUACAAACAUAUGACAGAUUUUUAGUCACAGACCAUUUUGAUAAGCAUUAUGACUUUAAAUUUACAAGUGUGAGCGACCUCAUCCGAACAUAUUGCCAUCCAUUCGACAGAUUUGUACUCUCUUUGUUGUUUGGCACAACAAAAUUGUCAGUCUCCAAAAUUCAUAUACUUGUAUUUAUACUGACGUUUUGUAUGCUCAUCUUAGAUGCCAUCACACAAUUACAUCUUAUAAUUAUGAUUUCUUUUAGAAUUAAAUGGAACUACAUACUGAUUUCAACUUCUAAGUGACAUGUUUAUAUGCCUAUUUGACAAAUUCCCCUUCAAUCUAAAUGAAUUAUAGGGGAGUUUACAGGAAAUGGGGAUCAUGCACAUCUUUUUCUUGGGAUCUUUAUGUUGUGCACUGAAGUCAUGUUGUGAAGUAUCACUUUGGAAUUAGCUCAUCCAAUUACUCGAUAUAUUUCACAAUGGGGAUUCAGAAUGUUAGUACCCCUGUCCCAAAAUAAGUGUCUCCACUUUAGUACAACUUGUAUAAAGUUAGUACUAAGUUAGUACAAAGUUGAGACACUUAUUUUAGGACGGGGGAGUACUUAGUAUAUUUAAUGUUCUUCUUUUACAACCUAUCGGAGAUUGAAUGGAUGAAACACUAUUAUUGUCUUUAUGCAGCAAUGUGUCCAUGAUAGUUUUCACUUUUUAAAAGAUUCUACUUCCCCGUAUACUUAUGUCUCUUAUGUUAUCCUCUUGUGUUUUAUCUCUAAUUUAUCUUCCUGGUUACACCAGCUCCUUGUGUCUUCGCUCCCCCCUUGUGUGUUUAUGAUGGCAGCUCCGCAUCAUGGUGCGAGGCACCGGUGGCUGCAGUAGGUGUAGAUGACGAGGAAGAGCCAGCUUUGUGGCCUUGCUGCACCCACGUCAGCUUUUCAUUACUCCAUAUACGGACAUUAGGUUGAUGUUGUUGCAUAUGCAAAUAAUUGGUUUGUUAUCCAUAGUUCUUCUACUUCAGAUUUGAUGCUAGGUGCCUUAGAGCUUAUACUAGAUGAUACAAAGGGGUUACCUAGCUUUCUUUCCGUGGGCAUACGUAUCUUGUGCCUUAGAGCUUAUAUAGCAUAUUUUGUGCCCCAUAAUAUUUUACAGAAUUCUUUGCUGAAAGUUUGAAUAAAAAUGUCGUAAGAAUCUGGAUAAAAGAAAGUGGAAUGAAUAUAUAUGUAUAUUCCAUGGGCAGGAUAUCUAACGGGAACCAUUUAAAUUAUGAUGGUCGUAUUCUAUAACUACAAUUAAGGAGUAUUUUAGCACAUGUUGCUUAUAAAAUUCUUAUCUAAUUAUACUUAGAAUUUCUUUUGGCAGCUCCUUUUUGUUUAGUUGUUUCGUAAGCACACAAAUAGUGCAUUCUUGACAACCUCUUUCUCCCAUGCAGUGAACUGGGGAGGCAUCACAUAAAUUACAAAUAUUUUCAUUUUUCCUUGAUUUAUAGAAGAAUAGAAUGUUGCACGUUGCUUCUAUGGUGUAUCACCCAAUGUAUAGCUUCCUUGAUUUUAUUUUGUUUCAGCUAGUGGCAUGGUAUUCUGCCAUGUACCACUGUUUUUAUUUAUAGUUUGCAUGUCCAUUGAAAAGACUAAAUCAUUUACUCUGUUUCUCUUGGUCCAGUGAAAGACCAAAUCCAUGUGUAGCUGUUCUGGCUUUGUGGUGUGCAUCAUCUAGCUGAAAUAAUGAAAUGAUGUGAGAUUAUGUUAGAGCUUGCUGGUGUGAUGCUUGUCAAUCGUGCUAUGCCGUUGUCUGCUGAAUUCUGGUUGUACAUCGAUGCAAAUGAACAUGGACACAACUUAUUCUAUACAUUUUAUUAAAAAUUCAAACCGCUGAACAUGAUCACUUCCAUAUCUCUGAAAUUUUAUGCUUUUGGUUUCCAAUGGUAUUUGGUUUCUGUACACUGCAAGCCCCACGAUGCUAAUUGAAAUAUCCUUUAUCAUGUUGCAGAUGCUUAGCAAAUUCUUUUGCUGCUACCUGAUCAUAAUCAUCUAAUUUUUUACUCCUUUCAUUUCUGACCAUAAUCAUCUAAUUUUUUACUCCUUUCAUUUCUAUAAGAAUGGCUGGAAGAGAGUUAUCCUGCAUGGGCACAUAGACCAGGAUACAUUGUACAUUGUAUCUCAGGAUAUAGCAACAUGAGGUGAGGUUUACGGGAAACACAAAAGAGGGAGCUAAAGAUGUUCAAGUUGGAGGAUGUUAUCCAAUGAGAUGAAGAAUGAAGGUUUUGAUGUCAAGUAUGAGAAUGAUGCAAGGAUCUGCAUCUUGGUGGAAGGAUGUGAGGAUGGGGCUGUAGUUUCCCACUAGAAGGCAGGCAAAUGAUGUGCCUUGAGACAAAUUGCCGAAAACAAAGCGAGGAAUUUAAUUAGUUACAUUAGUUUAUAGGAAACUUGGAUGGUCAUUAGUUCAUAAUAGAUGAACUAUUUAUAUGUAAAAAUUAAUGCAUCUGUGUUGUUUAUAUGUGAAUUGUUUGGUUCUGGUUCAAUAUUGUUGGAAGACAUGCACUUCACUAUUAUGAGUUAGGCAAC